AGGGCACCACCAGGAGUGGAGCCUGCGGCUUAAUUUGACUCAACACGGGAAACCUCACCCGGCCCGGACACRGACAGGAUUGACAGAUUGAUAGCUCUUUCUCGAUUCCGUGGGUGGUGGUGCAUGGCCGUUCUUAGUUGGUGGGGCGAUUUGUCUGGUUAAUUCCGAUAACGAACGAGACUCUGGCAUGCUAACUAGUUACGCGACCCCCGAGCGGKCGGCGUCCCCCAACUUCUUAGAGGGACAAGUGGCGUUCAGCCACCCGAGAUUGAGCAAUAACAGGUCUGUGAUGCCCUUAGAUGUCCGGGGCUGCACGCGCGCUAGACUGACUGGCUCAGCGUGUGCCUACCCUACGCCGGCAGGCGCGGGUAACCCGUUGAACCCCAUUCGUGAUGGGGAUCGGGGAUUGCAAUUAUUCCCCAUGAACGAGGAAUUCCCAGUAAGUGCGGGUCAUAAGCUUGCGUUGAUUAAGUCACUGCCCUUUGUACACACCGCCCGUCGCUACUACCGAUUGGAUGG
rnacentral:rRNA from 1 species